rnacentral:lncRNA from 1 species
UAAAGGAAACUAGAGGCUCUAAAGAGCCUGUGUCGCUCACCUUGGUCUAUGUGAAUAUUAAACAAUGGACACAGAUGGAUUCAUGACAAAAUUGUGUUUUGGUGAUAGUGAUGUGUUUGUAGAUCUUACUUUACUGAACAUUCUUGCUGCUUACAAUUAUCUCUUUCUAUAAUAAACUUGGCCAAGUACUUACAGUGGAAAAAGUUAGUAAAAAAUUACAAAUUUUAUGAAAAUUUGUUAAAAAAUGACUAUAAAGGGCAAUAACUCCUUAGGGGGCCAAUUGACUAUUUUGGUCAUGUUGACUUAUUUUUAGGUCUUACUUUGCUGUAUAUUAUUGCAGUUUAC